UAAUAAUAAUAUUAAUUAAAAGAGGAAGAGUGAUUCGUUUGUUAAUUACACCCUAAGCUUUGUGAUUGUCAGUGUAAAUGAUCGAGAAUAUCGAAAAAAAAAAAUAAUACGAUUGACGAUCGUAAACUUUCGAGCUAGUUUAAAAAGAAAGAUUACGUAACGCGUUUAAUCGGCGCAAUAAAUGCGUGUUGCUAAUCUAUCUGAGGAAGGGGUAACAAAAAUAUUUAAUUUUCGAUGAUUGAAAUGAGAAAGAGGGAGAGAGAGAGCACGUUAUAGUAAUCGGAAACUUUUGUAAAUCAGGAUAAUAUCGUAUUUUACAAUGGUAUCUUAUUAAAACAAACAAAAUUGAUUAAAUAAAAAGAAAUGAAAACAAGUGAGGCGAAUGAAAGAAGAAGAAAAAGAAGAAAAUAGUCAUCGGUCCUUCGUUAGAUUUUUGUAUGCAUAUUACAUUCAUUUUUAAUGAGAAUUGUGCAUUCAUGGACAAAAUUCCCUCGCAUAUCAUGUAAAUCUGCACGUUUCGUAAUUUCACUUCUUUUUUUGGUUUUAAAUUCGAGGAAUGGUUCUUAUCUAAUCGAAUUUUUCUAAUCUUUGAUUAUUCCAAUGCAAACGACGGUGAAUACGAUUUAGUGGUUGAAUAUACAAUCUUAUUCAAUAAUAAUAAAUAUGAUUUGCUUUUUUUUUUGCAGGACGAAAUCUAUCAUAAUAAUUCAGUUUUAUAAUGACAUACGUGCUAUAUAAAACUUUAUUGUAAUUACGCUAAAAGACUUAUAUUGAAGAGAUUAUGUGAUUUGGCUGCCAGUUAAAUUUGGGAUCCAUAUAUGUUAAUUUGUUAAAAGAAAGAACAAAAAUCGGAAAAAUAUUAUUUCUUUUCGAUUAUGUGUUGAUUCUUUCCAUUUAUUUUAUUUCUUUUUGUCUCGAUUUAUUAAAACAUUGAAUAUUAUGAACGCUUCUUGUUGUUUUAUUAUGUAGAAAAUUAUUUCAUAUGAGCACUUUUUUCCCCAAUUUUCUCAUAUAACGGAGGUUUGUACUGUAUGCAAUUAUACGAGAUUCGUAUGAUUUUUAUUUAUUUAUUUUUUUUUGUCAUAAAAAUCUUUUUAUAAUCAUCAUUACGAUGAUGAUAAUGAUGAUGAUGAUAAUAAUGAUGAUGAGCUUGUUUCAAUACUUAAAGCGAGAUAAGUGAUGAGUUAGGAAGAUGUAUAGAAUCUUUGAUUUCAUUUUGAAAGGACCACAAUCGUGUUUGCGAAAAUUAGAAGAAAUGAUUUUCAUGGCGGUGAUAUUUUUUAGAUUAUUUGAACGCGUGUAAAGUAAUUUCUCUCUGUCGGUUGUACGAAAGAAUUUGAUAAGUAACCGCGAUAAAUUUUGCAAAUUUAAAAACAUAUUUUUAUUAAAUUAUUUUAAUAUUUUGUUUUGUGUGUGUGUGUGUGUGAAUUAGAUUUUAUCUUUUUCGUGUUAUAUGGGCAAAUGCACACACGCAUUCUUCAUAAGAUUACACAUUUUUUAUUAGAUUUUGAUUUUCGUUUUGUUUUGUUUUGUUUUGUUAUAAAAAUUAUUUUAUAAUCAUGAUAAUGAUAAUACUUUCGUUUUAAUAAUGAAAAUGUGAUAAGAGAUUAAUAGAAAAGAAUUAUAGAAUUUAUUUGUUUUAUUUCGGAAAAAAUUAUAAUCGUGUUUACGGAAUUUAGAAGAAAAUUAUUUUCAUCACGAUGAUUUUUAUGUUGUGUUUUGAACGCUUGUAAAAUAAUAUCUCUCUGUCGAGUGCAUGCAAGAACUUGAUAAGUAACUGAACUAAUUUGUUGAAACUUUAACAAAUAAUUUUAUUUACAAUAAAAUAAUUUGUAUAUUUUAUUAGAAUCUAUUAUUUAUAUGAUUAUUUAUUUUAUUUGAUAAGAAAUUCAAUUGAAACUCGUUAGGAAGUUUUAAUAGAAAUAUAUUCUAAAAUGAAUUAGAUCGCAAUAAUGGAUAUAGCGUUAAAAGUAAUAUAUUUUUCCAAUAUAUAUAGAUAUAUAUAUAUAAAAUAAAAAAUGUCACAUAUCAGGUUUCUGCAUGCACACGCAGAUUUAUGUAAAUCGUAGACGAUUUUACGAAUGUGCAGUCAAUUUUAGAAAAAGAAAUGAAAGAAAGAAUGGAAGGGAGAAAAGACGAAUUAAAGUUUUUAUCUGGUGAAAUUACGAAGUUAAAAAAAAAACCCAUUUUGUAUUUUACAAAAGAAGUGAGCGUUGAUUUUAAGAAACGAAACAAGAAAAUGAAAAAAAGAUAUAUCACUAUUACGUAAUAUAGUGUCUUAUUUUAAUCAUUAUUCUUGUUAAAAAUGAAACGCUUUCUUAUUAAUUGUUUUUAUGAAAUUAUGAUAUUGAAAAAAAAAAAAGCACAAAAAAGAAACAAAUUAUUGUAACGUAUUAGUGAGAAAUGCGUCAAGAAAAAAUUAUAUGAUAUUGUAAAAAAAUCAUGAAAAUCAUUUAGAUCGAGGAAUGGAAAUAAAAAAAUUGGGCUUUAUACGAAUAAUAUACAGAUAAAAAAAAAAAGUGAGAGCGUAUGUGUGAAGUAAAAAGAAAAAAAAGUGAGAAAGAGAUAGAAAACAAAUUUUAUGCUGUUAUUUAAAUUAAUCAUUGUCCAAAUUGUACGAGUAUAUACGGAUAUUUUAUUGUUUGAUUUUUUGAAACAAAAUGUUGCAAGACGGUAGGAAAACAAGAUUUUUUUGCUUCUAUUUUCUAAAUUUUAUUUUGAGUUUUAUUAUUAUUUUCAUUUUUUUUUUUUUUCUAAUCGACAUACGAUCUUGAUCGUUUUAUAUUUUGUUAUUAUUGUCGCUGUAUGAUUGUAUCGAGAAUACUAUAUACUUUUUAAAAGAUAUGAACAGAACAAAAACCAUAUGCAUGUACAUACAGGAUGUGAUAAAAUUCAAUUUGCUCAGAGAUUCGUUUACGAUAAAUAACUUAUUGUUUAUGCAAUUACAUGCAGUUACACCUGUAAAUUGGUGAUUGAACGUCAGUGAGUCGUGUAUUGAGUAUAAUGGACACUAAUUUGAACAAUUUAUGCAAAGAAAUUAAUAUAAAAAAAAUAGUUUAUUUAAAAAUUUCUUUUAAUGAAAGUUCAUUUCGAUCUCACUCUGUUUAUAUUAACAUACACAAAUACAUGAAUGUAUACAUGAAUAAGAAGAGUUGUAGGAAUGUGCGAAAAUAUGACGAAGUGUGAAUUUUUAAUAUAUAAAAAAGAAAAAAAAAAUUACAUGCGAUAUCAAGCUAAAAUUAAACUUGUAUAUUUCGAUAUAUAUAAAUAUAUAAAUAUAUUUAUGAUAGAAUUUAAACAAAACUAGGGACAGAAAAAAACAAACAAACAAAUUAUAUAAUAAAUUAAUAUUAUAUCAAUAAUGUGUGAGCGUGUGUGUGUGUGUAACACACGAACACGAAAUGAAAAAAAAAAACAAAGAAAAAAUUUCAUUGUUUGCGAAAAAAAUGCACACGACGAAGAUCGUUGUCGUGUUAGAGUUUUAAAUGAGAAUUUAAAAAAAAUUAUUAUUUUAUUAAAAAUAUUUAAUAAAACCACAAAUUCUUUUUUAGAUUUAUUUGUAUGCGAGUUAUUGAGAGAAUUAAAAAACAAAAGAAGACCGACGAAAAAUGUCUUGGAAGAGAAACAAAUUGAUUAGUGAAAGAAAGAGAGAAAGAGAGAAAGAGGGAGAGAGAGAGAGAGAGAGAGAGAGAGAUUUAUAUUUUAUUGCAAAAAACAAAUUAUCAUAAUAUAUUUUAAAAAUUAUUAUUAAAGAAGAGAAACGAAAGACAUGAUUCAAAGUUUACCGAGGGACAACAUUUUUAUAAUAGUUAUGUUUGAAUCUAAAAAUUUGAUGUGAAUUCGAUUACGACGAGAGUAGUUGAUCCACGUUGCGCGUGUGUCCGCUUUUCGUUUUAUUUUUUUAUAACGUGCUAAACAAAGAGAGAGGAAAAAUGAAAAAGAAUGAGAAUGAAAAUGGAAAUGAAAGAAAGAGGAAAAAAAAGAGAGAGAGAGAAGAAAAUGAAUAUUAUUAGUACGGUGAUCAAUGAGAAGUAUCGAGGGUCCAAUUUUGCACGCACAUAAUUUAAAAGAAAAAAAAAAAAAAAAGAGAAAUACCAAAACGAAAAAAAA